UUAUGGCUCAGGAUGAACGCUAGCGACAGGCCUAACACAUGCAAGUCGAGCGGCAGCACCUCGGGUGGCGAGCGGCGCACGGGUGAGUAACGCGUAUGUAACCUGCCCAUGAGUGGGGGAUAGACCCGGUGAAAACCGGAUUUAAUACCGCAUAAUACCAUUUAUUAGACAUCUUAGAAUGGUUAAAGAUUCAUUGCUCAUGGAUGGACAGUGCGUUUGGAUUAGCUAGUCGGCGGGGCAACGGCCCACCGAGGCGACGAUCCAUAGGGGUUCUGGGAGGAAGGUCCCCACAUUGGUACUGAGACACGGACCAAACUCCUACGGGAGGCAGCAGUGAGGAAUAUUGGUCAAUGGGCGGAAGCCUGGAACCAGCCAAGUCGCGUGAAGGAUGAAAGGCAUUAUGUGUUGUAAACUUCGUUUAGCUGUGGAGAAAUAAGGUGGUCGUGACCACCGAUGCUAGUACACAGAGAAUAAGGAUCGGCUAACUCCGUGCCAGCCGCGGC
rnacentral:rRNA from 1 species